UACGUAGGGUCCGAGCGUUGUCCGGAGUUACUGGGCGUAAAGCGCGCGCAGGCGGCUCGUCAAGUCUGGCGUGAAAGCCCCCGGCUCAACCGGGGAGGGUCGUCGGAGACUGGCGAGCUUGAGGGCGGUAGGGGCUGGUGGAAUUCCCGGUGUAGUGGUGAAAUGCGUAGAGAUCGGGAGGAACACCCGUGGCGAAGGCGGCUCUCUGGACCUGUCCUGACGCUCAGGCGCGAAAGCGUGGGGAGCCAAACAGGG
rnacentral:rRNA from 1 species